CCUUUAUUCAGUUAACUCUGAAAACGUAUUUCUUUUGUUCAUGCACCUUUGCAUCUGGCAUUACUGGUCGUAUGAGCUUAAAGCACUGGUUUUGGUUUUNGAAGAUUAAUUCAAAGGUUAGUUCAAUUCUUCUCUUAUUCUCCCUUCAUUCUUUGUUCUCUUUUUCUUUUUGCCCAAAACCGAAAAAAAAACCUAAGGUUAGCCAAAUGGAAGAAAUAGCGGCAUGAGCACGAGAGAGAGGAAGAGAAGCCUUCCAUGCCAAAUCCAUAGGCCAUGAGAAGUAGACAAGAUAAAAAAUUUUCGAAGCUCAUUCUUCCUUUCUUUUUUCUCGUUUUCUCUCUUCUCCCUUUUCUUUUUCUUCUUUUCGAAAACCCUAAGAGAAAGAGGGAUUCUCGGUACGGCUAGGGGAAGAAGAGAAUCUGAGGCUCAAACGAAGUAACGGAAGAGAGAAUUUAAGANGGGAGGCGAGAUUUUAAGGUGAGUAAUGGAGAAAGGGCGAAACCCUAAAACCUAGACGAAUGGGAGGUUCUUUGGUACGAGAGCAAGAGAGAGGAGCAUCAAUACGUUUUGGGAAAGAAGGAGAAGAGGAUACGAAACGGAGGAAAACCAUGAGNAGNGGGCGCGNAAGGUGAGAACUGAGAUUGAAGAUCAAGACAAGUGGAGAAUGUCUUUCGUCAUGCCAUCAAAGUAUGGUGCUAACUUGCCACUGCCUAAAGAUUCCUCUGUGACAAUUAAAGAGGUGUCUAGAAAAAUAGUUGUUGUAGUUGCCUUUUCAGGAUCAAAAUCAUUUGUGGAUGCGGUGAUUGGUAGAUUGCUCCUACUUUGACAACAUUGUGAACUGUUGUAAAUGAGUAAUAAUUCUAUAUUAUGACAUUGAACUUAAAGUUCUUAAAAAGAAUAUUUACAAAGUUCAAGUGAAUAAAACAUAAUUAUUAUUGUGAAAUUGGUUGGAGGAAUAUGGUUAUAAUGAAAGCAAGUGCUCAAGACAACUCAAUGACAACGAUUGUGUAUUAUGAGUCGAUAUAUGAAAGAAAUUAUCACAUGUGAAGGAGGAANAAUUUCAACUAAGUAUUUUUUUAAUUGUAGGCAUCGACAAUAUCGUGACAAUCAAAUUAUUGAAGUUAGGGAAGAUUGACGUUUACAUGUAACUAGUACAUGUUUAUAGGUUAUCUUAUGGUGAUGUACAUGCUUAUAUGUAUUAAUAGGAUAUAUGUGUUAUGGUUGUAUAUAUGUCUUAUUUAAUUUAUACAUUGAAGUAUUGAACAUUC